rnacentral:sRNA from 1 species
UAAGUUUCCUUUGAUUCUACAGUUUGGGGAUUCUCAGCAGUUGCGGCUGGUCCGUAUUCUGCGCAGCACCGUGAUGGUCCGCGUUGGUGGAGGAUGGAUGGCCUUGGAUGAAUUUUUAGUGAAAAAUGAUCCCUGCCGAGCACGAGGUAGAACUAACAUUGAACUUAGAGAGAAAUUCAUCCUACCAGAGGGAGCAUCCCAGGGAAUGACCCCCUUCCGCUCACGGGGUCGAAGGUCCAAACCAUCUUCCCGGGCAGCUUCCCCUACUCGUUCCAGCUCCAGUGCUAGUCAGAGUAACCACAGCUGUACAUCCAUGCCAUCUUCUCCAGCCACCCCAGCCAGUGGAACCAAGACUUCACUUCAGUUCUCUCGCUGUUAUGACAAACCCUGGUUGGUAAACAGUAAAGCUGGCACCCCUAUCAGGGACAGCCAUUCUCCUGACCUCCAGCUGCCCACCCCCGAGGUUAUCCCAUCAUCAGGUAGCAAGUUGAAACGACCAACACCAACUUUUCAUUCUAGUCGGACAUCCCUUGCUGGUGAUACCAGCAAUAGUUCUUCCCCGGCCUCCACAGUUGCCAAAACUAAUCGGGCAGGUAAGUACCUGCCCUGUGACCUACAAGCCAGGCUGAGAAUUUGGAAACAGCCUAUGUGGAAUGUUUCACUGCUCCCAAGGAGCCAGUAAUGAGAGUGGCACUUAGUGUGAUGCCCAGAAAGACAGACCUGCAGAUGCUCAAGUGACCUUUACUUUUUCUGUCAUUACAACUAGCUUUCAACUAGCUUUAAGCUUUCCUUCUGAGACGAGAUGUUUCCACAGCCAAAGCUGGGCCAUGCAAUCUCAUCAGAAAUGAUCACAUUUGAGAGAAUGUAAAAGGAAAUGUGGGUCUUCCUCAGACACCAGUCCAGUGUUGCGAUGAGCAGCUUGCUAGUAAUUUUUCCAACACAUCAUACUUAUUAUGGCUGCUGUUGAACCAAGAAAGGCAGGGGAAGAUCACAUCUGUUCUCCUGCUACUGUUCCUCAUGGGAACCUAGGAAUCUGCCUUCAUUUCCUGGCUGGCUGCUUCCCCUCAUUUUGCCUCUAUCCAUCCUGCCCAUGGAUUAGCCCAGCUGGCAGGCUCACCCACCUGUGCUGAGGUGGUUGAGCAACCUUCUUUGCUUCCACUUUGGGGCCAUGGAAGGUGACAGUGCUGCUGAUAGAAGUGGCUUUCUAAUCCCCAGGAGGCAGCUUCUCAAGUAGAAUCACAAAGCCAGAAAAGGCUUCAGCAACUUCUGUAUAGAUGAGGAAACUGGGGUGCAGAAAGGCUGUGAGAUUUGCUUAAGAUCACACAGGAUCAGAACCCUAGCUUCUGCUCACUUGUUCUUCUACCCCAUGCCGUCUCUGUUAAGUCUGCUGUUUUAUUCUUGAAUUCCAGACCCUAAAAAGUCAGCCAGUCGCCCUGGGAGUCGGGCUGGGAGUCGAGCCGGGAGUCGAGCCAGCAGCCGGCGAGGAAGUGACGCCUCUGACUUUGACCUCUUAGAGACGCAGUCUGCUUGUUCUGACACUUCAGAAAGCAGCGCUGCAGGGGGCCAAGGCAACUCCAGGAGAGGGCUAAACAAACCUUCCAAAAUCCCAACCAUGUCUAAGAAGACCACCACUGCCUCCCCUAGGACUCCAGGUCCCAAGCGAUAACACUGUCUAAGCACCCCCAAGCCACUAUCCACUUUGAAUCCUGCUCCAUACAUUGGGUGUAUAUUUAUUCUGAACGGGAGAAGUUAUAUUGUUAAAAGUGUAAAAGAAUAAUUGUGUUAUGAAGCUGCCUUAUUUUUUUCUUUUUGUAAGUUACUAUUUUCAUGUGAAUAUUUAUGUAGAUAAAAUUUGCCUCCUGGUAACCCUGUAAUGGAUGGGGCCCAGAAAUGAAAUAUUUGAGAAAAACAAAUGAAAAGGUCAAGAUACAAAUGUGUAUUAAAAAAAAAAAAAAAAAAAGCCUAUUAAUAGGGUUUCUGCGCGGUGCAGGGUUGUAAACCUGCUUUAUCUUUUAGGAUUAUUCCUAAAUGCAUCUUCUUUAUAAACUUGACUUGCUAUCUCAGCAAGAUAAAUUAUAUUAAAAAAAUAAGAAUC